AGAGUUUGAUCCUGGCUCAGAUUGAACGCUGGCGGAAUGCUUUACACAUGCAAGUCGAGCGGCAGCGCGGGGGCAACCCUGGCGGCGAGCGGCGAACGGGUGAGUAAUGUAUCGGAACGUACCCAGUCGUGGGGGAUAACUAUCCGAAAGGAUAGCUAAUACCGCAUACGUCCUGAGGGAGAAAGCGGGGGACCGUAAGGCCUCGCGCGAUUGGAGCGGCCGAUAUCGGAUUAGCUAGUUGGUGAGGUAAAGGCUCACCAAGGCGACGAUCCGUAGCUGGUCUGAGAGGACGACCAGCCACACUGGAACUGAGACACGGUCCAGACUCCUACGGGAGGCAGCAGUGGGGAAUUUUGGACAAUGGGGGCAACCCUGAUCCAGCCAUUCCGCGUGAGUGAAGAAGGCCUUCGGGUUGUAAAGCUCUUUCAGCAGGAACGAAACGGUGGUCCCUAAUACGGG
rnacentral:rRNA from 1 species